rnacentral:tRNA from 1 species
GUUUAAGUAGUUUAUAAAAAAAUAAAGAAUUGUGGUUUCUUAGAAGAAAUUUUUUCUUUAAGCC